rnacentral:rRNA from 1 species
CACAUGCAAGUCGAACGAGAAAGCUCCUUCGGGAGUGAGUAGAGUGGCGCACGGGUGAGUAACACGUGGAUAAUCUGCCUGAUAAUCUGGGAUAACAUUCCGAAAGGGAUGCUAAUACCGGAUAAGCCCACAGCCUCUUCGGAGGCAGCGGGAAAAGAUGGCCUCUUCUUGAAAGCUAUUGUUAUCAGAUGAGUCCGCGGUCCAUUAGCUAGUUGGUAGGGUAAUGGCCUACCAAGGCGACGAUGGAUAGCUGGUUUGAGAGAAUGAUCAGCCACACUGGAACUGAGACACGGUCCAGACUCCUACGGGAGGCAGCAGUGGGGGAUUUUGCGCAAUGGGGGAAACCCUGACGCAGCAACGCCGCGUGAGUGAUGAAGGUUUUCGGAUCGUAAAGCUCUGUCAAGAGGGAAGAAACCUCCAACGGCUAAUACCUGUUGGAAUUGACGGUACCUCUAGAGGAAGCACCGGCUAACUCCGUGCCAGCAGCCGCGGUAAUACGGAGGGUGCAAGCGUUGUUCGGAAUUAUUGGGCGUAAAGCGCGUGUAGGCGGUUAGUUAAGUCUGAUGUGAAAGCCCCGGGCUCAACCUGGGAAGUGCAUUGGAAACUGGCAAACUUGAGUACGGGAGAGGGAAGUGGAAUUUCGAGUGUAGGGGUGAAAUCCGUAGAUAUUCGAAGGAACACCAGUGGCGAAGGCGGCUUCCUGGACCGAUACUGACGCUGAGACGCGAAAGCGUGGGGAGCAAACAGGAUUAGAUACCCUGGUAGUCCACGCCGUAAACGAUGGGUACUAGGUGUUGCGGGUAUUGACCCCUGCAGUGCCGAAGCUAACGCAUUAAGUUCUCCGCCUGGGGGAGUACGGUCG